rnacentral:tRNA from 1 species
UAGAUUGAAGCCAGUUGAGUUAGGCAUUUAGCUGUUAACUAAAUUUUUAUGGGUUAAAAUCCCAUCAAUCUAG